rnacentral:ncRNA from 1 species
UGGACAGCACCGAUAAAAAGGGAAUCGGGUGAAAAUCCCGAGCAGUCCCGCUGCUGUAAUUCCUGUGAAAGUCCGUUGACACGAGCCACUGACGAGAAUCUGUUUCUGUAGAGUCGGGAAGGCGCCAUCGGGCAGGGAAGAGCCAGAAGACCUGCCGGAGUGA